CAGGACGAACGCUGGCGGCGUGCCUAAUACAUGCAAGUCGAACGGUCUUUCUAUGGAAGCUUGCUUCCACUGAGAAGAUAGUGGCAAACGGGUGAGUAACACGUGGGUAACCUGCCCAUAAGAGGGGGAUAACAUCCGGAAACGGGUGCUAAUACCGCAUAGUUUUCUUGAUUGCAUGAUUGAGAAAGGAAAGACGGCCUUUGUGCUGUCGCUUGUGGAUGGACCCGCGGCGUAUUAGUUAGUUGGUGAGGUAACGGCUCACCAAGACGAUGAUACGUAGCCGACCUGAGAGGGUGAUCGGCCACAUUGGGACUGAGACACGGCCCAAACUCCUACGGGAGGCAGCAGUAGGGAAUCUUCCGCAAUGGACGAAAGUCUGACGGAGCAACGCCGCGUGAGUGAAAGAAGGUUUUCGGAUCGUAAAACUCUGUUGUCAGAGAAGAACAAGUUGGAGAGUAACUGCUCCAGCCUUGACGGUAUCUGACCAGAAAGCCACGGCUAACUACGUGCCAGCCGCCGC
rnacentral:rRNA from 1 species